CUUGGACUUAGGAGGCAUCAGGAGUUGUCUUUUCACCAAUCCACCUUCAUCCUGGCCACGUGAAGACGAAGACACGCGUGGAGUGGAGCGCUCGCCGCCGAUGUGAUUCUACUUGAUAGCUCACUUCUCAGAAAACCAUUUUUACGGUUGGAUUAAGCAUAUCUUUACGUGUGAGGGUGAAAACCAAAUGAAAUAGAUCAUCCGUGAAAAUAGAGUAUCUUCGCAAG
rnacentral:lncRNA from 1 species